AACGCACCUUGCGCUCCUUGGUAUUCCGAGGAGCAUGCCUGUUUGAGUGUCUUGAAGUCAUCAACCACACCUGUUUUGUGCGGGCCCAGGUUGGAGCUGGGGGCCGAUGCUGCCGCAAGGCUGCUCCCCCUAAAUGCGUCGGUUGGACCUGUGGGGUCGAAAGUCGACUGGGGCGUUGUACUGUCCUCGCUCUUCCCGAAAGUCGUCCCCCAAAUGCGUGUCCUCCCACGACUUGCCUGUGGAGUGGCAGUCAAGCUGAACUUUGAAAUCUGACCUCAAAUCAGGUAGGACUACCCGCUGAACUUAA
rnacentral:misc_RNA from 1 species